AAAAGGUGGUGCAUGGUUGUCGUCAGCUCGUGUCGUGAGAUGUUGGGUUAAGUCCCGCAACGAGCGCAACCCUCGUUCUAUGUUGCCAGCACGUAAUGGUGGGAACUCAUGGGAUACUGCCGGGGUCAACUCGGAGGAAGGUGGGGAUGACGUCAAAUCAUCAUGCCCCUUAUGUCUUGGGCUUCACGCAUGCUACAAUGGCCGGUACAAAGGGCUGCAAUACCGUGAGGUGGAGCGAAUCCCAAAAAGCCGGUCCCAGUUCGGAUUGAGGUCUGCAACUCGACCUCAUGAAGUCGGAGUCGCUAGUAAUCGCA
rnacentral:rRNA from 1 species